AUAUUUAAAGUCAGAGUAGAAAAUAAAGCAAUGCAUGUUAAACUGUUGAUUAUGCUGUGCAUAGUGUUAGUGCAAUCGCUUGUAUCUCAAGCUACAGAAGAUUGGGAGGCCUGCGGAUACGAACCGGAUACUUUUAAACGAAGCAACUAUGACAACUUCGCUGUAAGGCCUCGAAACAAAGAUAUGAAUGACGUAUUGUGCAAAAGAUAACAAGAGCGUACAAUGCUCCAGCCGGAACCCGUAAACCAUUUGUGUUUUUUAUUCAAGUUAAAUACACAACACAUAUGGGUA